UGGGGGAUAGUUUAACGGUAGAACACUCGGCUCUGACCCGUGUAGUCUAGGUUCGAAUCCUAGUCCCCCAGCCA
rnacentral:tRNA from 1 species